AGAUACCUCUUGUAUGGAGAUAUCUCGACCAUAUGCUCGCCUUAUCUCCAAGCGACGAAGUAGGUCGCUAUGCUAGGGUUUGGAGAAAUGACGAAGAAGAUUCAGAACAAACACUAAGAUGAACUAUUUCGCCACUGAACCAUCCCAUUACCUUUUGCUACCCUAGAUGCCGACGAGCCAGCUCUCUGGUGCUCAUCCUACUCCUCCUGAAGCACUACAGAGCUCUUUGGUGUGUGUGUCGUUACUUGUCAGACUUUGUAUUUUGUAAUUUGGGAGAGUGGAUUUGGAUCUAACACGCUCUUGGAUUGGUGAUUGGUGAAGAUAUCCUAACUGUUAUGGCUACAGAGCUCUGUGGUCUGGUGUGUGUCUUUACUUCUCAGACUUUGAAUUUUAUAAUUUGUGCAGGGAAAAUUGGAUUGGAUCCUCUCAAUCAUAACACGCUUUUGGAUGCUCUCAAUGGAGAGAACCCUUUCAAUAUUAAAGUGGGUGAAAACAGCAAUUCUCAGGUACGUAGUGGACAGCAAGGUAAGCAUUGAAAUGGAGCUAUGGAAGACUGUUGGCAAUGGAAGAUACGCAAGGAGCCAAGUGAAGAGCCGAGAUGUUUGUUCAGUUGCCUGGUGGUGGACUCGAGGCUGCUGUUUGCAGAAAACUCAAAAAGGUCAAGAUUGAAUUCUAGAUGCCGACGAUCUAGAUCUCCACUGGUGCCUCUUGAAAAAGGCAGCUCAUAUGCUCACCUUACCUAAGCCAUGCAGGUAACAUCUAAUUUCCCGGAAUGAAUCGUUGAAGUCGAAGGCUGUUGGAGUUGGCAAGGGAAGAUACACAAGGAGCCAAGUGAAGAGCAAACUCAAAAGGCCAAGAUUGAGGGAUGAUCAUCAUCGAAGAUUCGUUUUUAUUCCGGUGGCAAAGACGAUUAAGAGUUACGAGAGGGUGAUUGAUCGUGUUCGGAGAAGUAUUUGGUACUCUCUGAUCUAAAGAGGAAGCAAAAGACAACGAGUCCCUUGAAAAGAUCUCUUCGGAUACAGUUACAUAUGCGAGACGAGAGAUAUGGUGCUGGUUGAAAUCGAAGAUAUGGAGUUUGGUAGGUGCAUGUUGGCCAUGAAAGAUACAUUACGGAAGGAGCCAAGUUAAGAGCCAAGAUGUUUGUUCGGUUGAGGAGGCCGCUUGCCCUUGAGCUCAAAGGCCAAGGUUUGAUUUUUUCUUCUGUACUUUCUCUUUUUUGUUGCCCUUUGAGCUCAAAUUAGGAUUCUCUUGGCGGUUUUGCUAACAGGGUUUUUGGAAGCAAAUUUAUGAUCCGAUCUGAUCAUCAUCGCUCGCUCCCUCCUCCUACGGAAAGGGAUCAGUACUGUCUCUAUGAUGCUUUGUAAUGCUACUUACUAAGGUUGACGCUAUAGAUGGAAUUGUCUAUGUAUCAUGCAUAUAUACGACUCUACAAGGUUUUGGAUGAUGCUUUUAUCAUUUUGUGAUGGUUUUGACUGAUCGGACCAGAUCAGCAGUUGUUCAAGAUUGUACUUGAUGAGCUACUGAAACUGACGGGCGGAGGACAAGUAUCUGAGCUGCAUUCGCCGGGCUACCAGCAAUUCCACGUUGCUACAUUGAAGGAAGGAUGCUGUUUGCAGAGAGCCAAAUUCAAUGGCCAAGAUUGUACUCUUGAUGAGCUAGUGAGAUUGCUGGGCGGAGGAGAAGUAUUUGGUACUCUCUGAUUCAGAACCGAAACAAAGAUGAACUUCACCUUACAAUUGAACCAUUCCAUACCUUUUGGCUAUAUACCCUAGCUAGAUAAAGAGGAGGAGCUAUCUGGUGCUCAUCCUGCUCAAGUACUACAGAGCUUUGGUGUGUGUGUCUUUACUUCUCGGAUUGAAUUUUGUAAUUUGGUAAGCUUCUUACUACGGUUGCUGAUGUCACAAACUAUGGAGAUUUCUUGGCAAAGACCAGCUCAUAUGCUCGCCUUACUAAGAGUCAUUUCAUACCUUUUGCUAACGUAGAUGCCAAGGAGCUAUCUGGUGCUCAUCCUGCUGAAGUACAGAGCUUGCAGGAAAAGUGGCUUGGAUCUUCUAAUCACCACACGCUUUUAGAUCCUCUAAAUGGAGAACCUCUCAUUAAAGUUGCUGAAGUUGAUGAAACAGUAACUCAGCCAUAUAUGCUCCAAAUAGCUACCAGCAAGCUGCAGGAGGAGUCUUUGUCACACGGAAUUUUUUAGAGAACUGUUGCGGUGGUCAGUUGACUAGUGGACUCGAGGAGGCUGCUUCAAGAUCAAACUCAAAGGCCAAGGAAGCUGCUUGUAGAUCAAACUAAUAUCGACAGGGUAUCAAAGAAGAUUGGUAUGAUGGAGAAAGCAUUGCGUUUCCAGUGAUUCUUGUCACAGCUGUCAGUGACUACAAACAGCAUCUCCAUUUUCAAAACUUGAGUGAUGAAAAGAGAAACAUACAUCUAGAGGUGACAAGAGGUGGAAGGCCAGUGGAUAUUUCAAUCUAUGACACACUGUGGUUCUUGCGGAUGGAGUGCUAAUAUAUGGCCACUCUCUUGCCCUUGAUGAGUUCUUGAUGAGUUCUUGAUGAGUUUAGCAUGACUGGAGAGAGCAAAAUCGUGUGUAUUUUUCUUGUUUCCUAUCAUAAUUGAAAAUUGUUGACUUUCUCGUCCCGCUAUAUGGUGAGUCAAGAGGUGGUGGUGCUGCUUUGAGUGUCAAGGAGGCAUCGGGAAAAGCUAUUAUACUGGUAACAUGUGGAGAGCGAAUGGCUGAACGAAUUCUAUGAUGAAUGGCAACAGAAGCUGUAAGUUCCGAAUGAGAGAUGUGCUUUUGUAGAGAAGGCAACAGAAGCUUAGGUCUAUACUAUGAUCAUAUGCAGCUGAUGAAGCCACAGUUGGAGUCCAUCGGGGAGGAAAUGCAAAACAAGGGCAUGGACGCCGUUACGAUGGCAGAAGAUCAAAAAAAGAUGAAGAAUUUAUUUAAAGAAUAUGGUGUCACUCCAUUCACUCCAGUGAAAGGGAUGCUUAUUCAGGGACCUCUGUCCAUCUGCUUUUUUCUUGCUAUUCAAAAUAUGGCAGAGAAGGUACCUUCAUUCCAAACAGGAGGUUGGUGAAAACCCAUUGUAGACAUCAAUCCAAGUAAGUAAACUACUCAAUUGGUCAAGAUUGUACAUGAUGAGCUACUGAAAUUGAUGGGUGGAGGAGAAAGUAUCUGAGCUACCAGCAUUUCAGCUUCUCUCUCUCCACGACAAAUCCCUUUUGUAUGGAGAUAUCUCGACAAAGACCAGCUCAUAUGCUCGCCUUAUUAAGAUAGAAUCAUUCCAAACCUUUUUGCUAAUGUAGAUGCCGAGGAGUUAUCUGG